UUUUUUUAAUAAAUGAUCUACGUUCAUAGAUUUAAAGAAUUAUUAAACGGAAGUCAGCUUGUGAUGAGUCCAACGAAAUGAAAUAGGAUGUUGUAGUUCAAAGACAAGUCAUUUUCUUUUCGUUUAUAUUUGUUUUUUAAUUUUAGGCUGUAAUUACAAAGGAAAAAGGAAAGGAAAAAAGGUAAUGAAUCUAACAGAUUAAAUUUAAUUUGUUAGAUACCUUCUAGUGUGUUGAAUAAUUAAUUAUCUAUUAGCUCAAACUCAUCUCUGUUUUAAAUUCCAAAGAUGUAUAACUACUUAAACUAAGCUCAAGCUUAAUAUCAAACAUAGAAUUAAUAACACAUAUUAUAAAAGCAAAAAAACUAAGUGAGUGAACUUAAAAAUUAGCCAUGCAUAAUAUAUAAUUUAUCCCACAUGUGAAAAUAUUAGACUUAUCUCACAUCGCUUAUCUCAUCCAACAAACUUAAUUUUAAAUUAGACUCCUCAACCCUUUUCUCUAACAUGAUAUCCAAAAUAUAUACUUUGAGUGAUUCUCUCAGUAGUGAUCAUGUCUCUACUUAAGUCUCUAUCUCUCUUCUCAUCAACUCCAAGUUCAUCCUCUUAAUCUACUGCCUACCUUACCUUGUGCUAUGUGGCCAUUGCUUCUUAGCACAAGUAAUAAUUAAAAAAGUAUCUUAUUUUCAUAGACCAGAUAUGUGUGUUGAUGAUAUUAUCUAAGGUGUUUCAAAAAUUCGAAAUAUGGUUAAAUAAAACCCUAGAAUGUGGUUUGGUUCUAUAGUUUAGAUGGUUCAAUUCUCAUUUUAGAAAUAGAAAAUUGAGGAUGUUUGGCUUUGGUAUUUACUCUCUGCUUUAUAUAUUGAAUCUCCAUUAUUCUAUUUUGAGAUGUUUAAGAAUCCAUUUAUCUUUUUUUUCAUAUAUUAUUUAAGUAACAUUCAACCAAAUAAAAAAUUAAAUGUAAUAAUUACUAUGUUAAAAUUAAAAAUUCAGUAAAAAGUAAAUGUUAUGAUUGUGUUUCCUUAAAAAUUAAAUUGAAUUCUCCGAAAAAGACCUUCAAUAUAGGACUAAGUGAAUAUAUAUUAAAACUUGAAUGCUUCGUUACGUUUAUGCUAUGGAAUGUUUAUAUUAUCACCCUCUCGAUAACCAUAGUAAUAUUCUUAUCUCACAUUAUUCUAACGAUGAACACAAAAUAAUAGAGACAAGUUUAGAGACGAUGUAUAGAAUUAAAAGGGUGAGAAAAUUUGCAAUAUUUAGUUAAUUUUUUUAAAUUCAAUUUUACAAAGUUAUUUUUCAAAAUUUAUUUGAUUGACUAUUGAAAACACGCUCUCUAUAAUUUUUUUCAAGAAAAAACUCAAUUUUUAGCAUAAAUUAAAAUAUACCAUAUUUAAACUGUCAAAAACCAUUCCCACUGGAGGAUAAAUAAUAUAUGUUAUCUAACACGUUUUCUCUGUAAUGUUGUCAACAAUAAUAUACGAAAAGACAAAGUAUAUUUAAGAGCCCCCACUAUGCUUGUGUUUCUCUCUCGUCGCAAUAAUUACUUAUUAAAGUACGAGAAAAGACAAAGUACACGUGAGAUAGGAAAACGACUACUCUAACAAUUUAGGUCUCAUUUGGCUGGAGGAUUUGGAGGGGUAUAAUUUUUUUCCCGGAUAACUUUUUUCUCGGAAUGUUUGGCUAGCGGAUAUGCCCCCGGAUAAGUUAUGCCCCCGAAGGUAGAUAAUUUUUGGGUUGCCUAGACCCCUAACUAAAAAUUAUCCGGGGGAUAAGGGAUACCGCCCCCCUCUCUCCCCCGCCCCCCCCUGUCUCCUUUCUCGUCUCCUCUAUCUACAUCUCUCAGCCCUGCCCACUCUUUUUCCUCUAUCCCUCUUUUCUCUUUUCUUUUCUCUCAUUCCUUUUCUUCCUUCCUCCUAACCUACCUUAUCCACUCAUUCUAAAAAAGUAUCCAAAACAAAAGUUAAAAGUUAUCCCAUCCAAAGUUAUCACCUCUAAAAAGUUUCCUCCCCUAAAAAUUAUGCUGCCUCCCUUAUCCUCAGCCAAACGGGCCCUUGGGGUAAGGUAAAUGUUACGUAGUACGUACCCCCACCAAUUGAAAUAACACCGACACCCAUAGUUAUGAAAACGGACGAACCGGCAGGUUCAACCGGUUCAAUCGAAACUGGGCACUAAAUCGGUUCGGACACAACAUUUUAUCGCAUCGGAAAAAUGCAAGCCAACCGGAUUGAACCGGUUUGAAUCGGCCGAUUUUUUUUUUUUAACAGAAAAAAUAAAGUUUUAAUUUUUACAGUUUGACCCAAAAAUUUUAAUUAAAGUUUUACUUUUUACAAUGACCCCAAAAUUUGAAUUAAAUUAUUUUUUUAAUCGUUUUCUAAAUUAAUUUUUACUAUGAAUGGGUAAUAAAAAAAUUUUUUUUUUUUUUAUAAUAAAAAUAUAAUUUUAUUAUAUUAAUUAUAAAUCCGGUUGAACCGUGGUUGUUUGAACCCAAGGGAACCGUGUGAACCAGUAUUUUGACCGGUUCAAUGUCCGGUUCGGUUCUGAUAACUAUGCCGCGACACCCCUUAAUAUCUGAAAAGGGUAAUGCUAUGAGUACAUUCAAUUUACACCCUAAAUGCAUAUUUGAUGAGGUGGAGUAUUUAAAUUGGUUGGGUGUGGGGUCCACACAGUCCUUUCACCCCACACAUAGCCAAUCUAAAUACUUCAUCUCAUCAGGGGUGCAAGUUGGAUGUACCAUAGCAUUUCUCAUAUCUGAAAACGGUAAAUUUUGACUGACCUCGCAUGAUAUUUUUGAAUCAAAAUCCAACACGUGUACAUUAGUCCAAUUCCUAUUUAAUGGGCUAUUGGGGCCAUAGCCCCUGCAUGUUUCCUCUCGCUGCAUCCACAUGGAGACUGAUCUAAUGUCCCUUUCUUAUCUGUCCUUUCUUUCUUUUUUCAUUAAUUCAAAAGAGGUGAUCAGAUGUGGCGCACCCAUUGUAAUACCAUGGGAGCGUCCCUGAGGGCUCACUACAAUCACAUAAUUUUUUUCAAAUUAUGUCUUAUUUAUUUUUGAAAUCACUCAGCCACAAAAUAUGUGGCUGUGGUGAGGCCACGGAGGGCGCUCCCAUGAUAUUAUCACGGACACGCACCUAUCUGAUCACCACUCUUAAUUUAAUGCGAUGCUCGGAAAAGGUACAAUGGAGUCUUACACGAAUCUCGUAAGUGUUUGCAAUAGUUUAUCUCCUUUAAUUCAUAAACCAUAUAUAAUACUUUAUAUACCGAAGGCAUUAUGAAAUCUAAAAUAUUCCUAAAAUUAUAAUUUAGGUUCGAGUCAAAAAAUUCACAACUACGACCUACAAGCUGAUGAGAUACCAACAUACAUACACCACAAUCAUAUGGUCCUCACUGAUCUCUCUUCUCGACGCCUACACAUGCAUUAUAUGCGCAUAAAAUAUUUGAAGUGUUAAACUAAUCCCAUAUCAAAUAGUUUUGGGAAUACUCCACCUCAUGCUAAUGAUCUUUACUUUACAAUAACAAUUUGUACUACUACAAACAAUUCGCCUUGCUAGAUGCAUUAAAUUGAACUUUCAAGUUCCAAAUUUCUAUUUUGGGAAUUAAAAAGCUUUUUUAAUUGUGCUAUCUGAAAUGACCUUUGGUUUUAACACAUGUAAUAAUUAAAAAAUAUCUUAGCUUUAUCGCCAAAUAUGUGUGUUGAUGAUAUUAUCUAGGGGUGUCUGAAAAUUUAAAAAAAAAACGAUAAAUCAGAUCAAACCAAAUUGGAUCGAACCGUAUGGCUGGUGUGGUCCGGUUCUACGAUUUAGAUUGUUUCAAUACUAAUUUUAAAAAAUAUUAAAUUGGUCUAUAUAGUUCAGUCUUAGUUCUUUAUUUCAGAAUUGUGGUUCAAAAUAAACUGGGCCUGUUUUGUUAAGAACAGAGUUCUGUAACUGGAAUUGAUAUUGCUGAUAGCUGGAAGAAGAAAGAAGAAAAUAGAUUUCCCUAUUCGAGCUAGGGAUAAAGCUCUUAAAAGAACCAAGUAAAGACGGAAUUUUUCAUUCCCUUCUGAAUCAAUGUUACAUUCUUUAUAUUGCUGGACGUUUGACAAGAAUUCAAGGAAUGAUAUCUAACAGUUUUAAACACUAACUGAAUUAACCCAUUCUUGAUAUUGCCCAUGCUUCAGUUAUCUGUUAGCAUAGUUAUUUUGCCAUGCUUUACAUCAUGUUCCUGUCUUUUAAGUCUUAAUCUUUCAUUCAUUCUGGCCUUUUGAUACUCCUUCUUGUUCUAUCAUCCGCUACAAAGCUGUUCUCUCCUACUACCACUGCAUUCGUAACAUGUUUACGUACAUACAUAGCGUGUAUGUGUAAGUUAAACCCAUCCUAACCUUCCUAAUUUAUUUUAUAUUGAGGUAUCAUUACUUAUUGUUUGAUGUUGUAUGAAUUUUUUGGGUUUUCGAUUUUUGCGGUUGUUAUGCUUAGUUUUUUCUAAAGUGGAAUGUUGUCAUGUUAUUUUAAAAUGUAGAUAGUUUAGAAUUUAAAUGUCAGGUAUAAAAUUUAGGAUGUUUGCCUGUGGCAUUUAUUCCAUUCGUCUCAUAGAACUUUUGUUAUUUUAGUUUGGAAUGUCCGAAAAUGUAUAUUCAAUUCGACAGUUAAUAACGAAAAUAUACAACUUUUCUCUUUUAGCCUUUUUUUUAUAAAUUAUUUAAGUAAUAUCAACCAAAACAAAAAAUUAAAUGUAAUAAUUACAGGGAUAAAAUUGGAGAGUCAAUAAAAAUUAAAUGUAAUAAUUAUAUUCCCUUAAAAAGGUUAACUCCCCGAAAUCACACUUCCGUUUGAGGUGGACGGAGUAGAUGUUAAAACUUGAAUGUUAUGUUUUGUUUAUACUGUGUUUAUGUUAUCGGUCUUAACAAUGAGGAUGAUAUUUUUGUCACACAUUAAUCUAAUAAUUAAUUCAAAAAAAAUAGAGAAAAGUUUGGGGACCUCGCAUAGAAUUAAAAGUGCGAGAAAAAAAUUGCAAUGUUUAGAGUAAAUUUCAAAAUAGUCCCUAUAAUUUUUUUUAACAUUGAUUUUGGUUCUUAUAUUUUUAAAUCCCAUGAUUUUAACCUUGUAUUUUAAUUUACAUGCCUAAUCAAUUUAAUUGAUAACCAAAGUUAAGUUGUUGGACAUAUUUUCAAUACAUUUUGAACAUAUGACUUCAUUUGAUGGCAAUUUAUAGUUGGAUUUAUCAAAUUAUAAUAGAAUUUAAGCAAUUUACAGUGAGAAUAGGAAAAAAGUUGAUUUUAUCACUCAAAUGAUGGUACAUGUCGGCCAAUAGUGAAAAUUCAUCCAAAAACAUAACAUUCAUGACCAAUUGGCUUAAUUAGGUGAGAAAAUCAAAAUAUAAAAUUAAAACCGCGGAAUUUUAAAAUACAUGGAUCAAAAUCUUGAAUGAAUAAAACUACAAUGACCGUUUUUGAAAUUUAAUCAUAUUUUAAGAUUCAAUUUGACGAAAUGUUUUUUUCAAAAUUUAUUUGGUUGAUGAUUGAGAACAUGCUCUCUAUGAAUUUCUCGAGAAAAACUCAUUUAUUAGCAAAAAUUAAAAUAGUAUUUAGUGACGGCAUAUAGAAUUAAGAGGGUGAGAGAAAAAAUGGCAAUGUUUAAUAAAUAUUUAUAAAAUUAUUUUAAUAUUUUUAAAAUUACUUUUGCAAAAUAAUUUUUAAAAAUUUAUUUGGUCGACGGUUUAAAACGUACUCUCUUUGAAUUUGUCGGGGGAAAAAAAUCUCAUUUUUGGAUAAAAUUAGAAGGGUAUAUUUAAGUUCUCAAAAACUAUUUCUGCUAAAAGAUAAAUACUGUAUGGUAUUUAAAAUAAGCUGUAUCAUUUAAGCUGUCUAUGAUACAUUUUUAAAUGUUUAGUUGGCUCUAGAGAAGGUGGGUGCUGAUGGAAGAAUUGAGGUGUAUUUAGGAGCUCUCACUAUGGUUGGGCCAAGGAGAACCCCAAAAGAUGACUUUUCUUUAAUACAAACUUGCCCGAAAAUGAAAUUACAAAGGACACCAACCACAUAAUUAAAAUAAAAAAGUUUCUCUUGACGCCUCUCUCCUGACUGACCAAGUUGUUGCAACUACUACUCAUGAUUUUCUCCUGAUAUUAUAUUUAACUUAUAUAGGAAUAAAGUAUAGAAUUAAAAAAAUUUCAAAAUACCAAGAUUUGUUUUUAUCCCUCAAAUGACGAUUCAUGUCAAAAAAAAGUGAAAAUCUAUCCCAAAAUAUAACAUUCAUUAUCAAUUGGAUUAAUGAGGCGAUAAAAUAAAAAUAUAAGUUAAAAUCGCAAAAUUAAAAAAUAUAGGGACCCAAAUCACAAAUGAAAAAAACUACAAGGAUCAUUUUUGAAAUUUAACCAUUUUUAAAUUCAAUUUGACGAAAUAGUUUUUUAAAAUUUAUGAUUGAAAAUACGGUCUCUAUGAAUUUCUCGAGAAAAGCUCAUUUAUUAGCAAAAUUUGUAAUGGUAUUUCAAAUUCUCAAGAAUUAUUUCUACUAAAAGAUAAAUAAUACUGAUGGUAUUUGAAACGUGUUCUCUAUCAUCUCUGCAAUCAUAUAUGCGGUGAUCUGCCACCGUGUUUUAUUUCCGUCUUAGCAAUAAUGCACAAAACGACAAAGUCUCAAUAAUACUUUACAGUGAACAAAGGCCAUGUUUGAUAUAAUCAGGAUGGGAGGGGAUUGUACUACCAAUCGGUGAGACCCCUAAUCCGUGUUAUUUCGCCGGGAAAUGGCCGACUAUAGUCCGAUCGAUACGAAUCCCCCAAAUGGGAGGGGUUGCUAUCCCAUGGGUGAGGGUGAGAUUAACAACCCCUCCUACUCCGAUCUCUCAAAAUGGACAUUUUACCCUGGCAUAUUUGUAUAUUUGUGUAAUUAAGGGUAAAUAUAAAAUUUCAUGAAAAAAAUUUUAUAAAAUUUUGGAAACUAUGGCCAAUUACUCUGAUAUUUACUUAAUCCCACUGUCUAAUCUCGUGCAAACCAAACACUCGAUCGGACUAGUGCCCUCCAUUCUAAUCCCACCUCCUUCAAUCUAACCUAACCCACCUCAUUACUACUCUACCAAUUCUAUCACAUUGGGACAAGUACAAGUAAGAUGGUAAAAGGCUAAAGCAACCACUCUAAUAAUUUAAGGUAAAUUACACUCACCCCCCUAAUACAUUUACUAUCAUACAUCUCUUUGUUUCUUUAAGAUGUUUGAUUUUUUGCAUUUUUUAUUUUAUGUUCAUGUAAUAGAAUAUUUAUGUUAUCACCCUUAAAUGAUUUUAUAUUUAAUUUACAGGAUUAAAAUAUAGAAAUAAGAAAAUCUUAAAAUACCAAGAUUUGUUUUUCACGAAAAUAAGAAUUUAUUUUCAUGUUUUUUAUAUUAUUUUCAUUUGGUGAAAGAAUCUAUCCACGUGGUACUUGUUUUGGACUUUCAUGGGUAUUGCUAUAAAUUUAUUUAAAACAUAUAAGUAGAGUGUCAAGCGGGCCUAGCCGGGACGGCACGUCCACGAGCACGCUUGAGGCACGGUAAUAAAGUGGGCACGGC
rnacentral:lncRNA from 1 species